ACACGCUGGCGGCGUGCUUAACACAUGCAAGUCGAACGGAAAGGCCCCCACCUUGGUGGGGGUGCUCGAGUGGCGAACGGGUGAGUAACACGUGGGUGAUCUGCCCUGCACUUCGGGAUAAGCUUGGGAAACUGGGUCUAAUACCGGAUAGGACCAUGGUUUAGUGUCUCAUGGUGGAAAAAUUAUUGUUUUGGUGCAGGAUGAGCUCGCGGCCUAUCAGCUUGUUGGUGGGGUAAUGGCCUACCAAGGCGUCGACGGGUAGCCGGCCUGAGAGGGUGGACGGCCACAUUGGGACUGAGAUACGGCCCAGACUCCUACGGGAGGCAGCAGUGGGGAAUAUUGCACAAUGGGCGCAAGCCUGAUGCAGCGACGCCGCGUGGGGGAUGACGGCCUUCGGGUUGUAAACUCCUUUCGUUAGGGACGAAGCCGCACCUUUUUUGGGUGUGGUGACGGUACCUUUGUUAAGAAGCACCGGCUAACUAC
rnacentral:rRNA from 1 species